GUUGCUUCUGAGCCUCUUCAGCCUCCGUUUUAUCAGUCAGCUUCUUCAAUUGCUCUUGCAGAGCUCGCAUUUGAAUUUGGAUUUGCUCAGGAGUAGCCAUCGUAUCUGUCUCAACUUGAUUGUUCUGCUUCUUAAGAUCGCGCAAAGUCUUGUUGAUUUCAAGGUCCAACUCAAAAAGAGGAUUUCCGUGAGAUCUAGUGUUCAUACGCAACCUAUAGAAACACAC
rnacentral:lncRNA from 1 species